CCUACGGGCGGCAGCAGUGAGGAAUAUUGGUCAAUGGGCGCGAGCCUGAACCAGCCAAGUCGCGUGAGGGAAGACGGUCCUAUGGAUUGUAAACCUCUUUUGUCGGGGAGCAAAAGACGCCACGCGUGGCGUUCCGAGAGUACCCGAAGAAAAAGCAUCGGCUAACUCCGUGCCAGCAGCCGCGGUAAUACGGAGGAUUCAAGCGUUAUCCGGAUUUAUUGGGUUUAAAGGGUGCGUAGGCGGUCGGAUAAGUUAGAGGUGAAAUCCCGAGGCUCAACUUCGGAAUUGCCUCUGAUACUGUUCGGCUAGAGAGUAGUUGCGGUAGGCGGAAUGUAUGGUGUAGCGGUGAAAUGCUUAGAGAUCAUACAGAACACCGAUUGCGAAGGCAGCAUACCGGCGCUCAACUGACGCUGAGGCACGAAAGCGUGGGGAUCGAACAGGAUUAGAUACCCGUGUAGUC
rnacentral:rRNA from 1 species